CCGCGUCUUCACCGAGCUCCGCCGCAUCUCCGCCGCGUCUUCAUCGAGCUCCGCCGCGUCUCCAUCUACGUAUCUCCACACCCCCUCCACAUGUUCGAUGAAAUUCUUGAAUGAAACCAGAGAACGCCCUCCACCUGUUCGAUGAAAUUCUUAAGUGAAAGUUGAUUCUUCCGAUCGAAUUGGCAGCGGUCAAAAUAGCCCCGAUGAGACUUUGUCGGCAAUGAUUGUCGGAUGCGAGGUGGUGCUAUUCGAGCACCUACUGUGAACGUUGCAGAACGGCGAUGUCUACCCGGAGUUGACGCCCGACGACCUCGUCACAAUCGUAAAGACGGUGUAGUGCAAGCCACGCCCACCAACUGUUCGACGAAAUCUUGCGAUGGCGAAUCCAACCUGUGCAUAAAGAGAGAGAGCGGUGCUCUUCUCUUAAAAAAAAAAAAAGUAUCAUGAGAGAGCGGUGCUCUUCUCUUUAAAAAAAGUAUCAUCAAAAGAGAGAGAGAUAUUACUUCUCCAAUUAUGAAAAUGAGAAAGAGAGAGAGCUUUGUUACUGUUAGGGAGGCAAGGAAGGGAUUUUUUUUUUUUCUCCACCUUAGUUGUCCCAUGAAUGUAAAAAAAAAAAAGACGAAAAAGAAUUAUGUUGUCUUAUAUUUUCAAAGGAGAUAAAGAGAAAAAAAUGUAUUCUCUUAACUCUCCUCCAAUGAAGAUUAAUAUUCUUUUGAUCGUGUUCGAAAAUAAUCGAACCCUUUGAUCGAAUCUUUCGAUUUGGUCGAAUUAGAUCGAAUCGAGAUUUAAUUACAUUGGAUAUUGUGUGUGAUUCAUAACUGAGAAUUUGACGAAUAAUAAAACGCAUUCGAAAUAUAUUUUUGAUGAAUUUGAUUUUGAACUAUAUAUUAAAAUAUUUUGAU
rnacentral:lncRNA from 1 species